rnacentral:rRNA from 1 species
ACGCACCUUUCGGGGUGAGUGGCGGACGGGUGAGUAACGCGUGAGAAUCUACCAAAAGGACCGGGACAACCACUGGAAACGGUGGCUAAUACCGGAUGAGCCGCAACGUAAAAAGGGAAACCUGCCUUUUGAAGAGCUCGCGUCUGAUUAGCUAGUUGGUGAGGUAAGAGCUCACCAAGGCAGCGAUCAGUAGCUGGUCUGAGAGGAUGACCAGCCACACUGGGACUGAGACACGGCCCAGACUCCUACGGGAGGCAGCAGUGGGGAAUUUUCCGCAAUGGGCGAAAGCCUGACGGAGCAAGGCCGCGUGAGGGAAGAAGGCUCUUGGGUCGUAAACCUCUUUUAUCAGGGAAGAAAAAAAUGACGGUACCUGAAGAAUCAGCCUCGGCUAACUCCGUGCCAGCAGCCGCGGUAAUACGGAGGAUGCAAGCGUUAUCCGGAAUGAUUGGGCGUAAAGGGUCUGUAGGUGGUUGUUCAAGUCUGCUGUUAAAGCGUCUGGCUUAACCAGAUAAAGGCGGUGGAAACUGAACGACUAGAGUGCGGUAGGGGUAGAGGGAAUUCCCAGUGUAGCGGUGAAAUGCGUAGAUAUUGGGAAGAACACCUGUGGCGAAAGCGCUCUACUGGACCGCGACUGACACUGAUGGACGAAAGCUAGGGGAGCGAAUGGGAUUAGAUACCCCAGUAGUCCUAGCCGUA